rnacentral:misc_RNA from 1 species
UUGCCACCUCUGAGCCAGGGUCUCUG